UAGACACAGGCAACCACGGUAGGGUCAGCGACUGGGGUGAAGUCGUAACAAGGUAGCCGUAGGGGAACCUGUGGCUGGAUCACCUCCUUUCUAAGGAUGAUCAAGAAUGGGCCUAGGCCUUUUUUGAUCUGAUUAGACAUUGACGGUUUAAAGUCUUAUUUAAACCGUUGACAUAUUUUAAACAUUCUAUGAACCGUGGGUUUUGAAUGGAAACUCUGUCCCCUUUAGUGAUACAGAGCAUAACUGUUUUUUAUCCAUGGUUCAUUUGUUUAAAAAUUUAUAAAAAGACUAGCCGCCUUCAUUUCUCUUUCUUCAGAUGAUGAUCCUAAGCCUUCGGGCGAUCUGUUUGCACAAGCCUCUGAGAGGGAUGAAAGAUAUUGUUUUCUUUGAUCAGAUUAUGCCGGUAAAGGUUUUCUGGUUUACCCUAUAGGGCUUGUAGCUCAGUUGGUUAGAGCGCGCGCUUGAUAAGCGUGAGGUCGGAGGUUCAAGUCCUCCCAGGCCCACCAGUUACACGAUGCUAAAAGUUGCUAUAUUGGGAGAGUUGAUAAUCCCUUACAGGAAAUUAUUGCCCUUAAUAAAACUUUAUUUUCUAAAAGCAUUCAGAGCUGACAUAGAAUAGAGCUGACAUAGAAUUGAGAAUCUGACAUAGGAAUUAUUGAAAUUGUUUUGGGAUUAUUGAAAUUGUUUUCUAUCAUUUUAAAAGGCUAAAAUAUUCUGUCUCUAUUUUUAAAAUAGCAUCAGGUGUUUUGUAAGAGUGWRAAGUUAUUUNUACGCUCUUUUGACGAUUGUUACAACAUUAUACGAUUAAAACAUUAUACGAUAAUGAUAAUAACGAUAAUAAAAAGAGCUUUCAUUAAUAAAAAGAGCUUUCAUUAAUAAUAAAGAGCUUUCAUUAAUAAUAAAGAGCUUUCAUUAAUAAUAAAGAGCUUUCAUUAAUAAUAAAGAGCUUUCAUUAAUAAUAAAGAGCUUUCAUUAAUAAUAAAGAGCUUUCAUUGAACUUUCAUUGAAGAAGCAUUUUGAGCAAAACAGAUGUGUCGCAAGGAAGAGCUCAAAUUCCUUGCUUAUGAUUGGCAACUUAACCGUGCCAUUGAAUAUAUCUCGAGAAGUUGGUCUUUUCUGCUGAUAUUUUUGUUUUAAGUGCCUCAUUGAUGCUAGAUUAUUUUUAAAAAUAAUUUUGUAUUGAUGAUUUUGCACGGAAUAAUUGACGAAUGAAUAUUGGCAAUGAG
rnacentral:misc_RNA from 1 species